AUGUCCAUUCUUUGGUCUCUUUUAUUCCAAUACUAGAGAAACUCUCCCUCGCAAUACAGUAUGAUAGAAAUACUUUCUCCUUCACACUUUCAAAGUCGGUUCUUUUGACCUCUUCUCAAUGACAUGGGUUUUGCAAUUUCUAAGCUUUGAAUUCUCUUUCAACUUUCAAUAAUACUUGGUAAUGAUAUAUUUCACCAUCGUUGUCGCGCGGCAACACAACCUCAAUCGAAAAUAAUGGUACAAAGAAGCCUGGCCAAUCUUCAACCGGCAGCAGCAGCGCCCUCCUCAGCCUGCGGAUCUCCCGCAAUAUCCUUACUCUGACGGUGGCCAACUUCCACUGCAGACAAUUUUCAUUCGGCAGCAGCAAGGCCCUCCUCAAGCUUGCUUCGAAGUCGGCUAAAUCCCUCUGAAGUUCCCGCAAGGACUCGAUAUGAAUCUUCUUGUACGAAUCUGGAUCAUCCAUAUUUGUAAUGUAAGUGUAGUAGAAUGAACGAGUGAGAGUAAGAAAGGGAGAAAAGAAAGGAGGCCAAAGGGACCUAUUUAUAAAUGAUCGGAUUGAAAGGAGUGACUUAGUCAAACAAAAAGCCACCACUGUUCAUAUCCCAUAAUUAAA